rnacentral:rRNA from 1 species
CCUACGGGGGGCAGCAGUGAGGAAUAUUGGUCAAUGGGCGCUAGCCUGAACCAGCCAAGCAGCGUGAAGGAUGACUGCCCCAUGGGUCGUAAACUUCUUUUAUAUGGGAAUAAAGUGCAGUAUGUAUACUGCUUUGCAUGUACCUUAUGAAUAAGGAUCGGCUAACUCCGUGCCAGCAGCCGCGGUAAUACGGAGGAUCCGAGCGUUAUCCGGAUUUAUUGGGUUUAAAGGGAGCGUAGGCGGGUUGUUAAGUCAGUUGUGAAAGUUUGCGGCUCAACCGUAAGAUUGCAGUUGAUACUGGCAGCCUUGAGUACGGUAGAGGUAGGCGGAAUGCGUGGUGUAGCGGUGAAAUGCUUAGAUAUCGCGAAGAACUCCGAUUGCGAAGGCAGCCUGCUGGACUGUAACUGACGCUGAUGCUCGAAAGUGUGGGUAUCGAACAGGAUUAGAUACCCCAGUAGUC